rnacentral:rRNA from 1 species
CUGCCCAAUGAUUAAUUAUUUAAUGGCUGCAGUAUAAAUAACUGUACAAAGGUAGCAUAAUAAUUAGUUUUUUAAUUAAAAACUAGAAUGAAAGAUUUAAUGAAAUAAAAACUGUUUCAACAAAAAAAAUUAAAUUUAUUAUUUAAGUUAAAAAACUUAAAUUUUAUUAAAAGACGAUAAGACCCUAUAGAAUUUUAUUAAUUUUUAAAUAUUAUACUAAUUAAUUAAAUUUUUCAAUUUAAAAAAUAAUUUAAUUGGGGUAAUUAAAAAACUUAAAUAAUUUUUUUAAAAAAUACAUUAAUUUAUGAAUUAAAAAUCCUAUUAAUUUAGAUUAUUAAAUUAAAUUACCUUAGGGAUAACAGCAUAAUUUUUUUUGAAAGUUCUUAUUUAUAAAAAAGAUUAUGACCUCGAUGUUGAAUUAAGAUAAAAUAAUAAAGAAAAAAUUAUUUAUUUUAAGUCUGUUCGACU